rnacentral:lncRNA from 1 species
AAGUUUGUAAUAGUUUGAUAAUAUUUAAUAAAUUCAUAUCAAUUUAAUAAUUUGAUUGACUAGCCAAAUCUUUAAUUUAUAAUUUUCAGUUUGUAAUAACAAUAUUAUUUGAUUGACUGCCCACAACCCCACACUAGAUAGAGAAGAGUUUACAUUUAAAAAAAAAAAAAAAGCAAAACCAUAGUAAAUAAUUGUAUUCAUCUUUGGAGUAAUCAAGAUCGAGUAGUAGUAGUAAAAAAAAGAAAGAAAAGAUCAAAGCAUAGUAGUAGUAGUAGUUGUUGGUUAUAUUUAUUUGUUUUUAACAAAACCUAAAAAUAUCUGUACGGACAGUUUGAACGUGUCCCAAUCAGAUUUCUUGUGGCUGC